rnacentral:rRNA from 1 species
CAUGCAAGUCGAACGGAGCUGUUUUGGACGGAGACUUCGGUCAAAGACCAUAACAGCUUAGUGGCGGACGGGUGAGUAACGCGUGAGUAACCUGCCGUUCAGAGGGGGACAACAGAAGGAAACUUCUGCUAAUACCCCAUAUGAGCUUGGUUGAAAAUACCCAAUCUUGAAAACUCCGGUGCUCUAGGAUGAGCCUGCACCUGAUUAGCUUGUUGGUGGUGUAAUGGGACUACCAAGGCGACGAUCAGUAGCUGGUUUGAGAGGGGUGAACGGCCACAUUGGGACUGAGACACGGCCCAAACUCCUACGGGAGGCAGCAGUGGGGAAUAUUGCACAAUGGGGGAAACCCUGAUGCAGCGACGCCGCGUGAGUGAAGAAGUAUUUCGGUAUGUAAAGCUCUAUCAGCAGGGAAGAAGAAAUGACGGUACCUGACUAAGAAGCCCCGGCUAACUACGUG